rnacentral:rRNA from 1 species
GACGAACGCUGGCGGCGUGCUUAACACAUGCAAGUCGAACGGAAAGGCCCUGCUUUUUUGGGGUGCUCGAGUGGCGAGCGGGAGGGUAACACGUGCAUAACCUGCCCUUGACUUUGGGAUCACUUCAGGAAACUGGGCCUAAUACCGGCUACGAGCUCCUGCUGCAUGGUGCGGGUUGGAUAGUUUCGGCGGUUGGGGAUGGACUCGCGGCUUAUCAGCUUGUUGGUGGGGUAGUGGCUUACCAAGGCUUUGACGGGUCGGCGGCCUGAGAGGGUGACCGGCCACACUGGGACUGAGAUGCGGCCCAGACUCGUACGGGAGGCAGCAGUGGGGAAUAGUGUACAAUGGGCGGAAGCCUGAUGCAGCAACGCCGCGUGGGGGAUGACGGCCUUCGGGUUGUAAACCGCUUUCGCCUGUGACGAAGCGUGAGUGACGGUAAUGGGUAAAGAAGCACCGGCUAACUACGUG